UCCAGCAGAAAAUAUAGUUGCUAAAACAGUUGCUGUAAGAAGCAAGAGAUGCCUACAGUAAAAACUGUUUUCAAAAUAGCCAUUAUUUUCCCAGAAAAUAAAUUGGUAGGUGUGCCUUGUGUUCUUUGACCUUCUCCUCUUUUUGUAUUUACCUUGUAUGGUGCAGAAUCCUGCAACAUCUUCUCCAGGCUCUGCACAUGCACAGAAGAGGCGCACACAUGCAUAGCGCAUGGACACUCCCAUUCCCGAACGAGUAGCAAGGGAUGACUGUAAGGAUUACAGCUAGCUAAUGUCCAUGAAGUGCUCAGAACAUUUGAAAUGCUUUAUAAAGAAUAUUUCCAUUCAGAAUAACUGAUAUGCUUGUUCAGAAAUUGAUGGUGUCCAAUGAAGCAGCAUUUUAUCAGGUCUUCUAUAUCUACAAGCUUGCUGACUUUUUUCAACUUCUGAUGCUAAAUGAGAGGUGCUAUUUUUUGCAUUGUUGCCAAGGUCCCAAUCGGAUCCUCACAUUCUAAGAACAUCAGCCUGUCGUCUUGGUGUUUUCCCUGAUGAACUUGAUAUUUGAAUCCACUGUGCUUAUAUGAUCUAUGAAGGCCUGUACUUCCUGGACUCUAGCCCUAACCUUUGAACUAUUGGCCCUUGUGCCAGUGGAUGCACUUUAUCUCACAGGAUUCCAUAAAAAUAUCAAUUUUAUACAACAAAAGUUGUAUAACAAAAUUUUGUAAACAAAAUUCUUUGGCAUUUUCAUCAGAAAUUUUGAAUAAAAUGUGAUUUCAUGGUUGAUCAAA